rnacentral:tRNA from 1 species
GGCUCAGUAGCUCAGUGGUAGAGCAGGGGACUCAUAAGCCCUUUGUCGCGUGUUCAAAUCACGCCUGAGCCA